rnacentral:lncRNA from 1 species
GACAACCAAGAGGCUAAUAUCACCAAAGAAUUGAUGAUUCAAAAGAAAAUUUCAUGAAAAGUUUGGGGAGAUUUACCUUGAGAGUGAAAUUUACUGAAUGAACUGAGAAAUGAUUGAGGAACGCGAGAAGUGCUGGAGAGAUACUAAGACUGCCAUAGACCAAAUUUAUGAAGAACAAUAAAUUCAUAACAAACCAAUGAUGUACAAACAAAAGUAAUAAGUAAUGACAAUUAUCAAAGGGUUUUGUUUCUUUUACACACUUUACUUUACACAUUUAUUUUUAAAUUAUAUUUAAGUUUAAGCACAUUUACUUUACGCACUUAUUCUUCGUUUCAUUACUUUUCACUUUCAAUUUUCAGCUCCACUCACUCUACAUUAUUUGGUUGCUCACAUAAAGCCUUGGCCCAUAAGUAGUGAAAGAACCUAGGCCUUAAGAAGCAGGGCCGUCCCUGAGAUUUUGAGGGCCCUGUGUGAACUUAAAUUGGGGCUUCACAUAAUCUAAUACGAAAUACUAUAAAUAAAAAUUUGGCAUAACUUAAUGUCAUAAACAAUUUUUUUUAUAACUAAAAGUCAUGAAUAAAUAUAUAAUGACAAUCAGAAAUCAAAUUCAUAAAAAUUUAAAUGUUUCUAUUUGAUAAAAUUAAAUGUUUGGUACAAAAAUAAGCUCAUUGUGCCCCUACAAGGCCCUUGCUACCUCCAAUAAGCAAUUUGUGUUUAAUAGGAAACAAAAUUAGCAAUCACAAAUUAAAGAGUAGUUGCACACAAAUUCCUGAAAUUUGAAUUUGACUAUUUGAUUUUGAGUGUUCUUUAUGAAUAUAGGAAUUAGGGUUUUCUCUUUUUGGUGUUGAAAUUCCUGAAAUUGAAAGAAUAACUAAAAUUGUCAAAGGAUUGAAAAAAGAACCAAAGAGAGAUUGAUGAAUGAUGAUGGUUACUUACCAGAAAAUCAGAGUUUAAAAGAAAAAAAGAAGCCAUGAAGUUUUUUUUGUUUUGUUUUGAAUGAAAAAAGUACUUUUCUUAGAUGAGAAAUUUUUUUAAAUUUUUUUUUUAAAAGAAUGAUCGGAGUAGAAAGUGUUUAGGGGAUAUAUAUAUAUAUACUCCUCCUGUGGUUAGCUUCGAUGUUUCCUUUUAUUUCAAGGGUUUUUGGUUUUCAUUUAUUUAUUUAUUAUGUAAAGUUUUUACUUAUAAUGCAAAAAUAAUAUAAAAACUGCAUAUAGACCGACUUCAGCAAGAAUCGAACUCUGACACUACGUUAAAUGGAGAAGCACUGAAGCCAACUCCACCAGACACGCCCUUGUGCAAAUGUCUAGCACGCUAUACUAUAUAUACAAUUCCUAUAGUAUUAAUAUAUAUACUAUAAAGAAUUUUUUUUUCGGGGGGCCCUUAAGAAUCGAGGGCUCUGUGCGGUGGCACCACUUGCGCCACCCCAGGGCCGCCCCUGUUAAGAAGGUUCCUUGCUCGGCUGAACAAUCGUUUGAUUAAGGUCAAAUCUCGGACGCAAGAUACACUCACAUUCCAUCCAAACCAAAUUCGUGGCUUGGUGGUGGCACACCAAGCACUCAAAAAAAGAAAGACCAACAGUUCCUUCCGUCGGUCGCCUCAGUAAAAAGAUGGAAAUAAGUAAUCUAUAUAUAUAAAGCAAAAGGCAGAGAAUGGUGAAACAUUCAAAAUACCAAAAAAUGCCCUUGGUUAAUGCAAACAUUAAGAAUUCAAAUUAUUAAUUAAAUGAGGAUAAUAUGGUAAAUUCACACUUUUUCAUAUUUAAAAAAAUUAAAAGAAAAAGAAAAAGCAGAUAAUGGAUCCUAUUUUUAUGGAACACAACUACCCAUUAUUUUUUUUAAUUCUAAAAUAAAUUUACUUAUUUUUUUAAAAAAACCUCUCGCAAGCGCGGAAGCGCGUGCAGAGAGGCUAGUUUAUAUAAAAUAAAAUAAAAAAGAUCUGAAAUAAUAAAAGAAACUGUAUUAGGAACAACUAUUAGAGCAGUUUCGUACAUUUGAUUUGAACAACAAAUCUAACUUGCUGAACUUGUCUCAAGUAUCUCAGACUUGCAAGGAAAAAUACAUCAGCCCAUAGACAGAUCUAAACUUAGAUCUACAAGAAGAGAGAGAAGGAGAAAACUAAAGCAAGAGAAGAAAACCGCACCAGAGAAAGGGAAAGAAAAAAAGAAAAGGAAGAAAAAGAGAAAGGAUGAAGGAAGAAGGAAAAGUGGGAGAGUUUGUGAUGAAGUCUAGGGCCAAUAUGGAAUUUGACCAAUAUAUGAUACAGGGCGUACAGUAACCCAAACAUAUAUACCCAAAAUACAGAGAAUAGAAGGAUAAAGCAGUAUAUUUUAGGGCAAAAUCCCAACAGAAACUCAACAGACUAAUGUCCGAAACUAUAUUCAUCAACAAAAAACAUAAAUGCACGAGUAUCUAAAUAGACUAUUUAUACUAGAAUACAGAAAACCUAAUUGACAUAGGAAAUUAAAUCAAAUCUUAGUAAGAAUGGGAAAACAAAAGAAGUAACUAAUAAUUUAAAGUAAAUAGAACCCUAGCCCAAAUGACUAACGGGCCUGUGUAAUCUUAGAGUGCUUCAUAGAUGCUUCUGCAUCAAUAUAUUACUAUAAUAGGAACACAGGUGACGUAGACGACUCCGAUGGGAUUCAUCGCUGGGAUCAAUUAUACUUUCAACCUACUUGCUUGUUUUUUUCUAUUCUUGGAUGUGCUUGAGUUUUAUAAUUUUAAAUAGGAAGAAAAAAGAACAAAAUGAAAGAUCCAAAAUUCCACACCACACUAAUGAAAUAUUAAAACAAAAUGGCAAAGAAAGGUUCACCUGCAUAAGAAGAGACUGACGGACAUCGGAGACUGAGGUUUAGCCGGUGUGAAUAGACAGAAGAAUUUGAUGAGUGAGAGGCAGGGGUUUUUUGCCAAAAUGGGAUACCCGGGCUGAGUGCAGCUUCGAGUCUAAAGAUUAAACGGAGGAGCGAAUAGACAGAAGAAUUUGAUGAGUGAGAGACAGAAGUAUAUAUGCUUUCAUAUACAUAUUUGAAUUAUAUGUCAAAUUCUCUGUUGAUUGGAUUGUUUGAAUUAUAUGGCAUAUAAACUCACAUGGGAUAUUAAUCCCGAC